rnacentral:rRNA from 1 species
AUUGAACGCUGGCGGCAGGCUUAACACAUGCAAGUCGAGCGGGGAUUGGGUGCUUGCACCUAAUCUUAGCGGCGGACGGGUGAGUAAUGCUUAGGAAUCUGCCAUUUAGUGGGGGACAACAUUCCGAAAGGGAUGCUAAUACCGCAUACGCCCUACGGGGGAAAGCAGGGGAUCUUCGGACCUUGCGCUAAAUGAUGAGCCUAAGUCGGAUUAGCUAGUUGGUGGGGUAAAGGCCUACCAAGGCGACGAUCUGUAGCGGGUCUGAGAGGAUGAUCCGCCACACUGGGACUGAGACACGGCCCAGACUCCUACGGGAGGCAGCAGUGGGGAAUAUUGGACAAUGGGCGAAAGCCUGAUCCAGCCAUGCCGCGUGUGUGAAGAAGGCCUUUUGGUUGUAAAGCACUUUAAGCGAGGAGGAGGCUACUUGGAUUAAUACUCUAGGAUAGUGGACGUUACUCGCAGAAUAAGCACCGGCUAACUCUGUGCCAGCAGCCGCGGUAAUACAGAGGGUGCGAGCGUUAAUCGGAUUUACUGGGCGUAAAGCGUGCGUAGGCGGCUUUUUAAGUCGGAUGUGAAAUCCCUGAGCUUAACUUAGGAAUUGCAUUCGAUACUGGGAAGCUAGAGUAUGGGAGAGGAUGGUAGAAUUCCAGGUGUAGCGGUGAAAUGCGUAGAGAUCUGGAGGAAUACCGAUGGCGAAGGCAGCCAUCUGGCCUAAUACUGACGCUGAGGUACGAAAGCAUGGGGAGCAAACAGGAUUAGAUACCCUGGUAGUCCAUGCCGUAAACGAUGUCUACUAGCCGUUGGGGCCUUUGAGGCUUUAGUGGCGCAGCUAACGCGAUAAGUAGACCGCCUGGGGAGUACGGUCGCAAGACUAAAACUCAAAUGAAUUGACGGGGGCCCGCACAAGCGGUGGAGCAUGUGGUUUAAUUCGAUGCAACGCGAAGAACCUUACCUGGUCUUGACAUAGUAAGAACUUUCCAGAGAUGGAUUGGUGC